rnacentral:tRNA from 1 species
GCUGGAUUAGCUCAGUUGGCAGAGCGUUCGCCUUGUAAGCGAAAGGUCAUAGGUUCGAGUCCUGUAUUCAGCUCUA